rnacentral:rRNA from 3 species
GGGUUGUGAGGUUAAGCGACUAAGCGUACACGGUGGAUGCCCUGGCAGUCAGAGGCGAUGAAGGACGUGCUAAUCUGCGAUAAGCGCCGGUAAGGUGAUAUGAACCGUUAUAACCGGCGAUUUCCGAAUGGGGAAACCCAGUGUGACUCGUCACACUAUCAUUAACUGAAUCCAUAGGUUAAUGAGGCGAACCGGGGGAACUGAAACAUCUAAGUACCCCGAGGAAAAGAAAUCAACCGAGAUUCCCCCAGUAGCGGCGAGCGAACGGGGAGGAGCCCAGAGCCUGAAUCAGCAUGUGUGUUAGUGGAAGCGUCUGGAAAGGCGCGCGAUACAGGGUGACAGCCCCGUACACAAAAGCGCAUGUGCUGUGAGCUCGAUGAGUAGGGCGGGACACGUGGUAUCCUGUCUGAAUAUGGGGGGACCAUCCUCCAAGGCUAAAUACUCCUGACUGACCGAUAGUGAACCAGUACCGUGAGGGAAAGGCGAAAAGAACCCCGGCGAGGGGAGUGAAAAAGAACCUGAAACCGUGUACGUACAAGCAGUGGGAG